rnacentral:rRNA from 1 species
CCUACGGGAGGCAGCAGUGGGGAAUAUUGGACAAUGGGGGAAACCCUGAUCCAGCGACGCCGCGUGAGUGAAGAAGUAUUUCGGUACGUAAAGCUCUAUCAGCAGGAAAGAAAAUGACGGUACCUGACUAAGAAGCACCGGCUAACUACGUGCCAGCAGCCGCGGGAAUACGUAGGGGGCAAGCGUUAUCCGGAUUUACUGGGUGUAAAGGGAGCGCAGGCGGCCUGCCAAGUCUGGUGUGAAAACCCGGGGCCCAACCCCGGGCCUGCAGUGGAAACUGGCGGGCUGGAGUGUCGGAGGGGCAGGCGGAAUGCGUGGUGUAGCGGUGAAAUGCGUAGAUAUUAGGAGGAACACCGGUGGCGAAGGCGGCCUGCUGGACGAUGACUGACGCUGAGGCUCGAAAGCGUGGGGAGCAAACAGGAUUAGAUACCCGAGUAGUC